CCUACGGGCGGCAGCAGUCGAGAAUCAUUCACAAUGGGGGAAACCCUGAUGGUGCGACGCCGCGUGGGGGAAUGAAGGUCUUCGGAUUGUAAACCCCUGUCAUGUGGGAGCAAAUUAAAAAGAUAGUACCACAAGAGGAAGAGACGGCUAACUCUGUGCCAGCAGCCGCGGUAAUACAGAGGUCUCAAGCGUUGUUCGGAAUCACUGGGCGUAAAGCGUGCGUAGGCUGUUUCGUAAGUCGUGUGUGAAAGGCGCGGGCUCAACCCGCGGACGGCCCAUGAUACUGCGAGACUAGAGUAAGGGAGGGGGAACCGGAAGUCUCGGUGUAGCAGUGAAAUGCGUAGAUAUCGAGAGGAACACUCGUGGCGAAGGCGGGUUCCUGGACAUUAACUGACGCUGAGGCACGAAGGCCAGGGGAGCGAAAGGGAUUAGAUACCCUGGUAGUC
rnacentral:rRNA from 1 species